rnacentral:rRNA from 1 species
CUAACUACGUGCCAGCAGCCGNGGUAAUACGUAGGNGGCAAGCGUUGUNNNGAAUUAUNGGGCGUAAAGCGCGCGCAGGUGGUUCUUUAAGUNUGAUGUGAAAGCCCACGGCUCAACCGUGGAGGGUCAUUGGAAACUGGGGAACUUGAGUGCAGAAGAGGAAAGUGGAAUUCCACGUGUAGCGGUGAAAUGCGUAGAGAUGUGGAGGAACACCAGUGGCGAAGGCGACNNUCUGGUCUGUAACUGACACUGAGGCGCGAAAGCGUGGGGAGCGAACAGGAUUAGAUACCCUGGUAGUCCACGCCGUAAACGAUGAGUGCUAAGUGUUAGAGGGUUUCCGCCCUUUAGUGCUGCAGCUAACGCAUUAAGCACUCCGCCUGGGGAGUACGGCCGCAAGGCUGAAACUCAAAGGAAUUGACGGGGGCCCGCACAAGCGGUGGAGCAUGUGGUUUAAUUCGAAGCAACGCGAAGAACCUUACCAGGUCUUGACAUCCUCUGACAACCCUAGAGAUAGGGCCUUCCCCUUUUGGGGGACAGAGUGACAGGUGGUGCAUGGUUGUCGUCAGCUCGUGUCGUGAGAUGUUGGGUUAAGUCCCGCAACGAGCGCAACCCUUGAUCUUAGUUGCCAGCAUUCAGUUGGGCACUCUAAGGUGACUGCCGGUGACAAACCGGAGGAAGGUGGGGAUGACGUCAAAUCAUCAUGCCCCUUAUGACCUGGGCUACACACGUGCUACAAUGGAUGGUACAAAGAGCCCGCAAACCCGCGAGGGUAAGCUAAUCUCAUAAAGCCAUUCUCAGUUCGGAUUGCAGGCUGCAACUCGCCUGCAUGAAGCCGGAAUCGCUAGUAAUCGCGGAUCAGCAUGCCGCGGUGAAUACGUUC